UGGAUAACGAUAUAUAUAUGAAACUCCCUGAGGGAUUGAAAAUGCCAGGGGCAUUGAAAGAAAAAUCCAGGGAGAUUUGUUCGUUCAAGUUACAGCGAUCACUUUACGGAUUAUAACAAUCCGGACGCAUGUGCUACAAUCUCUUAAGUGAAUAUGUCUUGGAAAAGGGAUAUGUGUAUAAUGCGAUAUGUCCAUGCGUUUUUAUAAAGAAAUCGUCAUCUGACUUUGUGAUCAUUGUUGUAUAUGUAGACGACUUGACCAUAAUUGGAACUCAAAAGGAGGUUGAUGAUGCUCGAACUCAUAUGAAAGAAGAGUUCGAAAUAAAAGAUCUCGGCAAGACAAAGUUUUGUCUUGGGCUCCAAAUAGAGCAUCUCCGAGAAAGAAUAAUUGUGCAUCAAUCAAUCCAUACGAAAAGGUUGUCGAAAUGCUUUGGUAUGAAUAAAGCGACUCUUUUGAGUACUCCAAUGGCAAAUAGAUCUCUCGAUGAAAGAGAUGUUUAAAAGAUCCUGGUAAGAUCUUACAUAAAUAAGUACUUUGAAGAUGCUAAUGGUAAUAAAGCAUAUAUGAGCUUACAUAUCUUGCGAGUUGUGUUUGAUUAAAUAUACGUUUAGACACUAAUAUCUUUGCAAGAUAUAGCUCAUUUCCUAUUUAUGGAAAUUAGAACGGCGUCGAGAACAUAUCCGUUCUCUCCAAGGUACGUAUUGAUUUAGGAUUGAUUUAUCCUAGAAACCCCGAAAACACGUCUACAGUAUCGGAAUGCGGCAUUUGCGUGACUUUUGAAGAAAAAGCUAAGUCCACUAUUCUCAUGGGGAGAUUACGGCAGUAUACUAUUUUUCCCUCUUCACGGUUUUUAUCCCAAAGGGUUUUUCCGUGAUUAGGUUUUUAAUAAGGCACUACAUAAUACAUGAUUGGAUAAUCAAGGGGGAGAGUUAAAAUAUGAAUGAUUAUCCAAUAACACUUGUCAUGGUCUCAUAUCAUCCUCAUCACUUCCACAUGUCAUAUGUUCCAAGAGGUUUUUAUAUUAUCAGCAGUACAUAUGUCAGAUAUAUAUUUUUGUCCUUUUCUUAUCAGUUGGUGAAAUAAACCGACUCUUCCUCUCUAUAAAUAGAGUUGUAAAAGAAAAAAGGAAUUGAAUUAAGAAUCUGAAUCUCUUUCAACAUCUCUCUCAAUCUGUUGUCUCAUCUCUCUCUCUUUUUGUCUUGUCACUUUUACACACCCACUAACAAAUAUAUAUACAAUAAUAAAUAUAAACACUACCUCAGAUUUAUUAUAUAACACCGAGGUAAUUUUCAAGGCAUUGUUGUGGGUUAUUGCGGCAAUGGCGCUUAUAAUGGCCGAGGAGGCUCGUACACAGCUAGUGCCUUGCUAUUUCGUUUUCGGAGACUCAGUCUUCGACAACGGUAACAACAAUGACUUGAACACUACCGUCAAAGUUCAUUAUUCACCUUAUGGUAUUGAUUUUGCUAGAGGUCCUACCGGCCGGUUUAGCAAUGGCCGUAAUAUUCCCGACUUUAUCGCUGAACUAAUGGGAUUCAGUGAUUACAUUCCACCUUUUGCUGGAGCAUCUCCUCAACAAGCUCACACUGGUAUAAACUAAGCUUCUGGUGCUGCCGGAAUUCUCGAAGAGACUAGCUACCAUUUGGGCGAUAAAAUCAGUUUUGAAAAGCAAAUAAAGAAUCAUCGGACGAUUAUAAUGACGGACGAUUAUAAUGACGGCGAAUGUGCCAUCCGAGAAGCUGGAGAAAUGCCUAUACACAAUUAAUAUUGGAAGCAAUGAUUAUCUCAACAAUUAUUUCAUGCAAGUUAUUAUAUGUCCAAGGAGCAAGGAAGGUGGGGUUGUUUGGGGUCAGUAAGCUCGGAUGCACGCCGCGAAUGAUCGCCUCCCAUGGUGGUGGUCUAGGCUGCGCUGCUGAAGUGAACAAAGCUGUUGAAUCAUUCAACAAGAACCUCAAAGAUCUGGUCAGUGAGUUUAACACAAACUUCAACGAUGCUAAGAUCACUUACGUUGAUAUCUUCACCAGUCAAACUCCUCUUGCGUAGGGUUUACGGAAACACAGAAGAAUUGUUGUUCGGUCGAAUCAGGGGCAGAACUAUGUGCGGCAAAUAAACCGGUUUGUGAGUUUCGAAGAAGGUACGUGUACUGGGACAAAGUCCACAGCACUGAGGCGGCCAACAUGUUUGUGGCAAAUUCUGCGUUUGCUGGAGUCACUGCUUUUCCUUAUAGCCUUGCCUUACUUGCAGAACUAUAGGGACAAUAUACUCGAAAACAUCAUUCGCACAUAUAUAUAUAUAUAUUUGGGAGAUAUUGGUAAAAUAAGCCAUAGUGAUAAUACUUUUGUCUGUUUAUACAUUUGUAUUAAUUGAUCAGUUUUGGACAUAAUU